rnacentral:rRNA from 1 species
UUGUCUCAAAGAUUAAGCCAUGCAUGUCUCAGUACAAACUAAAUUAAAGUGAAACCGCGAAAGGCUCAUUAAAUCAGUUAUGGUUCCUUAGAUCGUACCACAUUUACUUGGAUAACUGUGGUAAUUCUAGAGCUAAUACAUGCAAACAGAGCUCUGACCGGAGACGGGAGGAGUGCUUUUAUUAGAUCAAAACCAAUUGUGGCGUCCCUAAGGCUCCAUAUGAUUCUGUAUCUUUGCAUACGUUCAUAUGUCCUGGGUGUACUGUUCACAUAAUAUAAUUGGUGAAUCUGAAUAACUUGCUGAUCGCAUGGUCUUGUACCGGCGACGCAUCUUUCAAAUGUCUGCCUUAUCAACUUUCGAUGGUAGGAUCUGCGCCUACCAUGGUUGUAACGGGUAACGGGGAAUCAGGGUUCGAUUCCGGAGAGGGAGCUUGAGAAACGGCUACCACAUCCAAGGAAGGCAGCAGGCGCGCAAAUUACCCACUCCCGGCACGGGGAGGUAGUGACGAAAAAUAACGAUACGGGACUCAUCCGAGGCCCCGUAAUCGGAAUGAGUACACUUUAAAUCCUUUAACAAGGAGCAACUGGAGGGCAAGUCUGGUGCCAGCAGCCGCGGUAAUUCCAGCUCCAGUAGCGUAUAUUAAAGUUGUUGCGGUUAAAAAGCUCGUAGUUGAAUUUGUGUCUUGCGCUGUCGGUUCAUCGCUAGCAUGCGGUGUUUAACUGGCACGUUGUGAGACGUCUUGCCGGAAGGGCAUGGUAUAUGUUUUAUUUGUGUGUCCAUAGUAUUACUAUUUAAUAUAUAUUAUUGGGGGUAACACCUUAAUAAUUUUAUUUUAUGUGUGUACUAUGUGGCCGGAUUUAACGUAUACGUAGUCCGACUUAUAAUCCUGUCUAGGUGCUCUUAACUGAGUGUCGUGGCGGGCCGGCACGUUUACUUUGAACAAAUUAGAGUGCUUAAAGCAGGCUAAUGUUGCCUGAAUAUAGUGUGCAUGGAAUAAUGAAACAGGACCUCGGUUCUAUUUUGUUGGUUUUCUGAACUAACCGAGGUAAUGAUUAAUAGGGACAGAUGGGGGCAUUCGUAUUGCGACGUUAGAGGUGAAAUUCUUGGAUCGUCGCAAGACGAACUUAAGCGAAAGCAUUUGCCAAAGAUGUUUUCAUUAAUCAAGAACGAAAGUCAGAGGUUCGAAGGCGAUCAGAUACCGCCCUAGUUCUGACUAUAAACGAUGCCAGCUAGCGAUCGGCCGAAGUUCCUCCGAUGACUCGGUCGGCAGCUUCCGGGAAACCAAAGCCUUUGGGUUCCGGGGGAAGUAUGGUUGCAAAGCUGAAACUUAAAGGAAUUGACGGAAGGGCACCACCAGGAGUGGAGCUUGCGGCUUAAUUUGACUCAACACGGGAAACCUCACCAGGCCCAGACACCGGAAGGAUUGACAGAUUGAGAGCUCUUUCUUGAUUCGGUGGGUGGUGGUGCAUGGCCGUUCUUAGUUGGUGGAGCGAUUUGUCUGGUUAAUUCCGAUAACGAGCGAGACUCUAGCCUGCUAAAUAGACGUAUAAACUCGAUUUUACGAUCGAGGACCCGGUAUUCCGAGGGUUGUCCUUCGACUACUGGCCAUUGUUUCGUUUACUUCUUCUACUUACUUUUGAGUUGUAUAAUACUAUAUAGCUUGUAUCGGCAAUGUAACUAGUUGUUUGUUGGCAAUCUUUACUACCGGCGUAUUAUUAAAUCUUCUUAGAGGGACAGGCGGCUUCUAGCCGCACGAGAUUGAGCAAUAACAGGUCUGUGAUGCCCUUAGAUGUUCUGGGCCGCACGCGCGCUACACUGAAGGAAUCAGCGUGUCCUCCCUGUCCGAGAGGUCCGGGUAAUCCGCUGAAACUCCUUCGUGCUAGGGAUUGGGGCUUGCAAUUAUUCCCCAUGAACGAGGAAUUCCCAGUAAGCGCGAGUCAUAAGCUCGCGUUGAUUACGUCCCUGCCCUUUGUACACACCGCCCGUCGCUACUACCGAUUGAAUGAUUUAGUGAGGUCUUCGGACCGGUACUCGGCCGGCUUGAAAAAGUCGCCGAAGUUGCUGGGAAGAUGACCGAACUUGAUUAUUU